rnacentral:rRNA from 1 species
GACAGAGGGGGCAAGCGUUGUCCGGACUGACUGGGCGUAAAGCGCACGCAGGCGGCGCGGCGAGUGGGGUGUGAAACCUGGCGGCUUAACCGCCAGACGCCAUCCCAAACUGCCGUGCUUGAGCCAUGCAGAGGGUGGUGGAAUUGCCGGUGUAGUGGUGAAAUGCGUAGAGAUCGGCAGGAACACCCAAGGGGAAACCAGCCACCUGGGCAUGGGCUGACGCUGAGGUGCGAAAGCGUGGGGAGCGAACCGG